UGGGGAAUAUUGGACAAUGGGGAAACCCUGAUCCAGCGACGCCGCGUGAGUGAAGAAGUAUUUCGGUAUGUAAAGCUCUAUCAGCAGGGAAGAAAAUGACGGUACCUGACUAAGAAGCCCCGGCUAACUACGUGCCAGCAGCCGCGGUAAUACGUAGGGGGCAAGCGUUAUCCGGAUUUACUGGGUGUAAAGGGAGCGUAGACGGCACUGCAAGUCUGGAGUGAAAGCCCGGGGCUCAACCCCGGGACUGCUUUGGAAACUGUGGUGCUGGAGUGCAGGAGAGGUAAGUGGAAUUCCUAGUGUAGCGGUGAAAUGCGUAGAUAUUAGGAGGAACACCAGUGGCGAAGGCGGCUUACUGGACUGUAACUGACGUUGAGGCUCGAAAGCGUGGGGAGCAAACA
rnacentral:rRNA from 1 species